CCUUAAGAGAGCAAUAGAGUUCCCAUCCUUGAUUUUUAAUUUUACUUGCAAAAGUAAAGCCUUCUAUCUCAAAGAACCGAAAAUCUAUAUUUUUCCCGGUUUCUACUUUUCUAUCAGAAAGAGGAUUUACACUGGGGCUUAUGGAGGAUUGAGAGGGACCUUGAGUAGGUACUGAAACUGGAGUGGGAGCAGUUGAAGAUUGAGCGGCUUGCCUUUUCUUUCUGACAAUUUCUUCAGGCUCAUGGAUUGAUUUUCUUCUUUGGGGAAGUUUCAUCUUUGGAGCCAUAUCCACUAUACUAGCAGACAAGGAGACUUGAAUUGAGUGGAGGAGGGAUCACAAGAGAGUGAAAAAAGAUUUUGGUGGAGAAAAGAAGUGGAUUUUGGAAUAUCGGUAAAGUGCUAGGGCACGUUCCAAUCUGCGCCAAGCAAUGCGAGAAGGCACAGAAAAUCUUUUUCGAGGAGGCGAUUUUUGGUGGAGAGGAGGAGGGAGAAUUGCCUCGAAAUUAAUCCUUAGAUUUUGGAGCAAGAAGAGUUGGAGAAGAUGGCUUUUGGAAGAAGAGCGAUGGGAAGAUGAGUCGUCUCACAAACAGUAACCCUUAUAAAAACAAUGAACCCGUUGAAAGUUGGUGGGAUUUACAAGUUUGCCAUUGAGUCGACUCAUGGGGGUCGACUCAUGAAGUUCAGAAAUUCAGAAAAAAUACAAAUAAAUUCCAAAAAAAUUCAAAAAUUUGGGAGAAAAAAUUUUGCUCAAUGAUAAGUUU
rnacentral:lncRNA from 1 species